GUGGCAUAUAUGAUAUAUAUUGUAUAUAGUUCAUGCUAUCGAUGGAGUUUAAGAAUAUUUUUACAUAAUUCACCUUUGCGGAGUGUGACAGGCUAGGCAAUAUUUUUUGUUUUUUUUUGUAUACACUAAUACACAUAUGUAUAAAUUCUAUAUAUAUAAAUUUUUUUGCCAAAAAUUUUGGGUAUUCAACUGAAUACCAAUGAAUACAGUUGUGCCUGCCACUGUGUGCAGUUUUAGAUGAGACUCCGAUCUUGGUUCAUGGUCUUGCUGUGUUGGUAUUGUAACGAUCUACUCGUGCUGGUCGGAAUUCUACCAUCCGAGUUAAGUGAUACAUGUAAACCUAGUCAUAGCGAGAUAGAGAUCAAUCAGAUUGAUCUAAUUGAACCCUAAGUCAAGUGCGAGGAGCUUAUGUGCGGUGGUAGUAGAUAGGAUCUACUGUCGGGCGUCGGAUUGCCGAGAAAAGUGUUGUUUGGUAAAACUGCCGUAACUUUUGAUCCGUAAUCGGAUCGAGACAAUCUCUAAAUGAAAAUCAUAGAGAAAAAAAUUUUUAUAUCUGAUUCUCCACCACGAAACCAUGUACGGUGAAAUUAGAAUUGUGAAAAAGGGCUAGGAAAAUAGAGCAUGACUGGUAUAGCCCUUAUGUGUGUGUGAUGCAUGUAUGUAAUAAAUUCAUGGAUUGCAUGUCAUGACAAUGACGAUAUGGCUAGAGCCACAUAGAUAUUGUCCAUCUGAUGUAAUGGCCUGCAUUCCAAUCUGUGAUGAUCCUACCCACGACUAUGUAAUUUUAAUUCAUUGCCUUGCGUUAGUGAUAGCUAGUCUUGGUGGAAUCAUUAUUGGAGGAUGGCAUACAUGGAUCAUGGAGAUGGAGAUCACCAUGAUGGACAGAUACAUGGAGAUGAAGAUCCCCAAAGUGCUAAUGGGCUAUACCGAGUCAUAUCUGUGUU
rnacentral:lncRNA from 1 species